rnacentral:rRNA from 1 species
UACAGAGGUCCCAAGCGUUGUUCGGAUUCAUUGGGCGUAAAGGGUGCGUAGGCGGCGCGGUAAGUCGGGUGUGAAAUCCUGGAGCUCAACUCCAGAACUGCCUUCGAUACUGAGAGUCUUGAGUCCGGGAGAGGUGAGUGGAACUGCGAGUGUAGAGGUGAAAUUCGUAGAUAUUCGCAAGAACACCAGUUGGCGAAGGCGGCUCACUGGCCCGGUACUGACGCUGAGGGUGCGAAAGCGUGGGGAGCAAACAGG